rnacentral:rRNA from 1 species
AACACGACUCUCGGCAAUGGAUAUCUCGGCUCUCGCAUCGAUGAAGAGCGCAGCGAAAUGCGAUACGUGGUGCGAAUUGCAGAAUCCCGCGAACCAUCGAGUCU